UACGUAGGGGGCUAGCGUUGUCCGGAUUUAUUGGGCGUAAAGAGCGUGUAGGCGGCCAGGUAGGUCUGCUGUGAAAACUCGAGGCUUAACCUCGAGAUGUCGGCGGAAACCAUCUGGCUAGAGUCCGGAAGAGGAGAGUGGAAUUCCUGGUGUAGCGGUGAAAUGCGCAGAUAUCAGGAAGAACACCCGUGGCGAAGGCGGCUCUUUGGGACGGUACUGACGCUGAGACGCGAAAGCGUGGGGAGCGAACAGG
rnacentral:rRNA from 1 species